rnacentral:rRNA from 1 species
ACCUCUUAACAGCUAGCCCGCCUUCAAACCUUAAACAAUUCUUAUUAAUCACUUUAACAACAACUAAAACGAACAAAGCAAACCAUUUUUCCACCCAAGUAUGUGAGACAGAAAAGGACUUUCGGAGCGAUAGAAAAAGUACCGCAAGGGAAAGCUGAAAGAGAAGUGAAAAAACUUAGUAAAGACUAAAAAAGCAGAGAUUUCCCCUCGUACCUUUUGCAUCAUGAUUUAGCUAGCACCUAUCAGGCAAAGGGCCCCUUUACGUUUGAACCCCCGAAACUGGACGAGCUACUCCAAGACAGCCUAUCCUAGGGCAAACCCGUCUCUGUUGCAAAAGAGUGGGAAGAUCUUUGAGUAGAGGUGAUAAACCUACCGAGCCCAGUUAUAGCUGGUUGUCUGAGAAAUGAAUAAAAGUUCGACCUUUUUUCCUUCUUUUAGUAAAAAUUGAAGAAUACUUAUUUCCUCUUCGCAAACCUGUAAGAAGUUAAAAGAGCUAUUCAAGAGAGGAACAGCUCUCCUGAAAAGAGACACAACUUUUAAAGAAGGCUAAAGACUAUAAGAAAUUCUAAGGACAUAAAUCUAAGUGGGCUUAAAAGCAGCCACCUUCCUAAAUAGCGUUAAAGCUUAACUUCAUUAUUUAGCCUAUAAUUUCAAAUAAAAAUUCUUAAACCUCUUUUUUUACCAGACCAUUUCAUGCAACCAUGAAAGAGAAUCUGCUAACAUGAGUAAUAAGAGGGUAUUUAGCCCCUCUCCUCGCACCCGUGUACAUCAGAACGAACCCCCACUGAAAAUUAACGCCCCCACCGAAAUGAGGGAAUUAAGAGAACAAACCCAAAACUAGAAAACUCCACUCAAAACAGCGUUAAACCCACACAGGAGUGCCCCAGGAAAGACUAAAAGAGAAAGAAGGAACUCGGCAAUCACUGGCCUCGCCUGUUUACCAAAAACAUCGCCUCUUGCCCCACAAGUAUAAGAGGUCCCGCCUGCCCUGUGACACAAGGUUUAACGGCCGCGGUAUUUUAACCGUGCGAAGGUAGCGUAAUCAUUUGUCUUUUAAAUGAAGACCUGUAUGAACGGCAUAACGAGGGCCAAACUGUCUCCUUACUCCAGUCAAUGAAAUUGAUCUGCCCGUGCAGAAGCGGGCAUAAAUACAUAAGACGAGAAGACCCUAUGGAGCUUUAGAUAUAAGCCAGCCCAUGUUAAUCACCCCACCAUAGAGGACAAAACUUAAUGGCCCCCUGUGCUUCUUAUCUUUGGUUGGGGCGACCACGGAGAAACAAAAACCCCCCACGAGGAAUGGACUCCACACUCCCAAUGCUCGAGCAGCAGCUCUAACAAGCAGAAUAUCUGACCUUUAAGAUCCGGCAUGACCGAUCAACGGACCCAGUUACCCUAGGGAUAACAGCGCAAUCCCCUUCUAGAGUCCUUAUCGACAAGGGGGUUUACGACCUCGAUGUUGGAUCAGGGCCUCCUAAUGGUGUAACCGCUAUUAAGGGUUCGUUUGUUCAACGAUUAAAGCCCUACGUGAUCUGAGUUCAGACCGGAGAAAUCCAGGUCAGUUUCUAUCUAUGAGACUAUUUUUUUCUAGUACGAAAGGACCGAAAAAAGGAGGCCCAUGCUCAAAGCAUGCCUCUCCCCAAACUAAUGAAGCCAAAUAAAAUAAAUAAAGGGGGAGAAGAAGUUCGACGUCAAGAAAGAGACCAAA